GCUGGGCAUGGUGGUGCAUGCCUGUGGUCCCAGCUACUAGGGAGGCUGAGGUGGGAGGAUUGCUUGAGUCCAGGAGGUUGAGACUGCAGUGAGCCGAGAUCAUGCCACUGCACUCCAGCCUGGGUGACCGAGCGAGACCCUGUCUCAA
rnacentral:SRP_RNA from 1 species